rnacentral:rRNA from 1 species
AGUGAACGCUGGCGGCAGGCCUAACACAUGCAAGUCGAGCGGCAGCGCGGGGCAACCUGGCGGCGAGCGGCGGACGGGUGAGGAAUGCGUCGGAAUCUGCCUUUUUGUGGGGGAUAACGUAGGGAAACUUACGCUAAUACCGCAUACGACCUACGGGUGAAAGUGGGGGACCGCAAGGCCUCACGCAGAAAGAUGAGCCGACGCCCGAUUAGCUAGUUGGUGAGGUAAAGGCUCACCAAGGCGACGAUCGGUAGCUGGUCUGAGAGGACGAUCAGCCACACUGGUACUGAGACACGGACCAGACUCCUACGGGAGGCAGCAGUGAGGAAUAUUGGACAAUGGGCGCAAGCCUGAUCCAGCCAUGCCGCGUGCAGGAUGACGGUCCUAUGGAUUGUAAACUGCUUUGUACAGGAAGAAACACUCCCUCGUGAGGGAGCUUGACGGUACUGUAAGAAUAAGGAUCGGCUAACUCCGUGCCAGCAGCC